UACAGAGGGUGCGAGCGUUAAUCGGAAUUACUGGGCGUAAAGCGUGCGUAGACGGUUAUUUAAGUCGGGUGUGAAAGCCCCGGGCUCAACCUGGGAAUUGCAUUCGAGACUGAAUAGCUAGGGUACGGUAGAGGGAAGCGGAAUUUCCGGUGUAGCGGUGAAAUGCGUAGAUAUCGGAAGGAACAUCAGUGGCGAAGGCGGGUCUCUGGACAGUUCCUGACGCUGAGGCACGAAGGUCAGGGGAGCAAACGGG
rnacentral:rRNA from 1 species